UGGUAACAUUCCAAACAGCUUGUUUAAACGUAAGAUGAUUACUCUAUGAGCGUAACCACAUUUUUGUUGGUUAGUAUUUCCUUUAGCCUUUUAUAAGCAAUAGAACCUUGUUAAAUAAUAUAGUGCUCUUCUUUGCAGUUUCUUAUUAAAAUUGUGAAAAGGAGAACUUCAUUAUCACCUUUAGUAUGUCAAACCCGUGGCUUAAGUUCUCACUAUAUUCAUAUAUGAACACAUUUGCUGUAUAUUUUGCUAAGGCAAUUCUUGUGCUUCUUGAUGAUGUGCCAAAAAAGUUCUAAUUUAACCCAUUUGACUUUGACAAUAACGAGCAAUGUUGAGGUAGCCAUGCCCAGUAGAACUGCCUGAGGACAGCUUUGUUCCAUUUUCUUAUGAUUGAAAAUCUCUUACUUUUGCGAGUUUUAUUAUAUCGUUCUGACUUUCUACAAGAAAUAGUUAUGAUAAUUGAUGACAACAUGUCAUUCAAGCGUAAAGUUCUAAUAUUUCCUUGCUUUUCCUUAUAUGCCAUAAAUCAAAGAAAUGCGUGAUGACAGUUUUCCCCAAGUCCUUGCAUAAUUUUGAGCAUAUUUUUUGUUUAUAGGACUGCCAAUAGAAAUUUAUGGAGGGAAAAAAAUGAUGCUAGCAAAAAGUUAAUUCUUCUAUCCUGUAACAGCCAUAUGAUAAAAACCGAAGCACUUUUGUCACUGAUGCCCGCUGCGCAAAAUGUGGCAAAGUUCAAAGAGACUUCCUGCGUCUAAGGACAUAAGGUUUGCUUUCCCAAGUAUGGUGCUCAUGGCUGUGACAAUGUGUGUCUACUUUAAGCAUUGUUCCUAAGUUGCUUGGUUGCCUUUAAGGAUCUGGCGCAAAGCAUCUUUGGCAUGGAUUGAAAAAAGAGGGGCAAAAGAAAUACAAUUUCCUUUGUUUUAUCUCUAGCACCCGUGUCUUGACUUGUUCUGAAAUUUUGGCUUUGACGAUGACUUCAAGACAGUGCAAAAAUGAUCCAAGCAAAUUCUGCUACAUAUGUGGCGAAUUAACAUUUGCUAAAGAAAGGCGCAGCAUUACCAGCAAUAUCAAGAAAUUGUACAAGGCGUACUUUCAUUGUGAUAUGGGAGACCAAGACAAGCCAUGGGCUCCUCAUGCCUGUUGCCUUACAUGUGUGAAAACAUUGAGCGCAUGGUAUGCAAAAAAGAAUGUUCACAUGAAGUUUGGUGUGCCAAUGAUUUGGCGAGAGCAGAAAGAUCAUUCUAAUGAUUGCUAUUUUUGUCAGCAAGAUUAUACGGGCUGUACAACAGCGAAAAAAAAGAAA